rnacentral:rRNA from 1 species
AGCAGCCGCGGUAGUUCCAGCUCCAAUAGCGUAUAUUAAAGUUGCUGCAGUUAAAAAGCUCGUAGUUGAAUUUCGGGACCAAUAUGUUGGUCGUGCCUCGGUACGUACUGGCAUUGUUGGUUUCUACCUUCUGACGAACCAGGAUGUCAUUUAUUUGGUGUCUUGGGAAAUCAGGACUGUUACUUUGAAAAAAUUAGAGUGUUUAAAGCAGGCUCACGCUUGAAUACAUUAGCAUGGAAUAAUGAAAUAGGACGUUUGAUUCUAUUUUGUUGGUUUCUAGGAUCGACGUAAUGAUUAAUAGGGAUAGUUGGGGGCAUUAGUAUUCAAUUGUCAGAGGUGAAAUUCUUGGAUUUAUUGAAGACUAACUACUGCGAAAGCAUUUGCCAAGGAUGUUUUCAUUAAUCAAGAACGAAAGUUAGGGGAUCGAAGACGAUCAGAUACCGUCGUAGUCUUAACCAUAAACUAUGCCGACUAGGGAUCGGAUGAUGUUAAUUUUUAAUGACUCAUUCGGCGCCUUAAC